rnacentral:lncRNA from 1 species
CAGACCCCUGGUCUAACCUGAGCUUGACCACCAUUUCACAGAGCAAGUAAUGACGCCCUCCUCCCAGACUUGCCCCAAAGCCCCCCAGAGCUUGGUGGUGUCCCAGGACGGUCCUCCCAGGAAACAUUUUGAAUAAGUUGCUGAAGUGCCUGAUGGACGUGGCUCUCGUCACGAAAUGAGUUUGGAUCCGAGAAGCCCUCUUCUUCAUCGGAAAACAGGCAGGGGUCCAAUUUCCCCUCCACCUGAACCCUGUCAGAGCCCUUCCAGCUGACGGCUCCACAUGUUGGGAGGGCCUCUCAUUUCAAGAUGGGUCAGGGGCUUCUCAGGAUUCUUUAGCCCAAACUGUGCCAGCCCACGAGGAGCACGUGUUAUGAACGUCAUUCCCAAAGAUCCUGCGGCACUUGGUGAACAGACGGUCCCCUUGGCUCCUUCCCAGAGGCCCUGGGUCCCAUGGGCCAGGGGUAAAGGGGCGGCUGGAGCCCCUGGUGGGGCUGGCAAGAGGCUGAGUCCCAGCCAGGGACAUGGAGUUCUCCAUGGCUUCGGAGCUGGAGUUUCCUUUUCCCGCCCUGGAGCAGGCAGAGGCACUCAACCCGGGCCGAGCUUGGGCUGAGCAGGGCUAAGGGAAGUAUGUCCCGGGGGUCCAUGCAGGGGGCAGGUGUCAGGGGUGCCCCAGCCACCACCUGGUGUUCUGUCCCUCAGGGAAGGGUCUGCAGAGGGGCCUGGAAUGGGGAGGUUUGGGGGCAGGCCUGGGAGCCCCAAGGACCUCUGCUGCUCCCAUUAGGACAAAGAUGAGCUGCGUGCCCAUAAUUCCACGUUUACGCUGACUCCUCCAGUGCCUCAUCAAUGAAGUAAGCAGGCAGCUACGUUCUGGAUGGCUAGCAUGUACCGAAGGCACAAAACCUCCAGAGUUGGCAGAGUUAAGUCCUGGCGUGCCCGAGGCUAUCCAGGGGAACACGCGGGACAGACAGCACCCUCAGCCUGUCCCCAUGACCCUCUGCUCCAGUCUGAGGGGCAGGACACCAUGAGACCUCUCAGACACAGAGUCCACCCUCGACAUGACCCGGAUGAAAGGCAGGAGUGUGCUCGCUGAAGGGGACCCAUCUCUGCAAGCCCACAGCCCUACCUGCAGCAUCCACAGCCUCAGAGAGCAGCGGGGCCCCUUACCCCUGAACCCCCUCCAAGAGCAUCAGGACAACAAGCCUUGAGCUGUGGAGACAAGAGAAUCAGUAUCCCUGGCCCAGGGAGGAUUCCAGGAGAGGACACGGGCAGGAGCCCUGGCCCAGAGCCAGAACCAAGAGUCCAGCCAGGUAUGGAAAUGGUCCAGUCCUGGCAUGGAGUGGAUGGCCUGGGGCCAUCCAUCUCACCCACUGUGGAGACAGGCCCCCGAGUGAGGUGGCAAGGGGGCCAGGUGACAGCAAAGGCCUCUCCCAUCUGAAUUCUGAAUCAGGGGCCGCAUCCCAGCCGGCACAGCCCUGGGGUGAGAGAGAGAGGCAGGAAGCCUUGAGCCAGCCCAAACCCUCGGGGCUGUCUUAGGAGCAACCUGAGGUGCCCCAACAGCUCCCCCGCCCAAGCGCACACAAAACUGUCACUCCAGGAUCAGCUACCUGCAGGAGAGUCCGCAGCAUCGGACUCAGGGAGCCACACAGGGACCGCAGGGACUCCAAAGACCCGGGUCUGGGGGGCCCGGCCCUGUGAGGACCUAAUGGGCUCAGUUGGAGAAGCGGACGCCACACAUCUGCUUUCCUUUCAGCGAAACUGGAACUAGGGUCCCCGGCACCCAGGACUCUGCGAGCAUCCCCCAACAGCAAGCCCUUCUGCAAGGGAGACGGGUUGGCCCACCCCAGGCUGUCCAGCUCCAGCAGCCUUGCAGGCAGCCUCUCCAGAAAAAGAGCCUGGUCCUCCCCACCCUGCUCCCCACAGGCUGUCCCUGACCCUGAGGCCCAGAGGCACAAGAGGACUUCUGUAGAGCCCAGGGGAGCAGGCUGUUCUCUUGGGGCCCCAGCGGGCUCAAGGUGUGGCCAGGCUGUCCCCAACUCAGGAUAGAUCAUAGGCUGUCCUGCGUACCUCCUCUGGAACUCCCUGCCCAAGCUCUGCCAUGGACCUGGACGUCAGGGGCCUGUGGUUUAACUUUGAAUAGGGAUUCUGGACCUUACACGUGUGCCCUGGACAGCCCCAGAACCAUGGGGUGGGGACCGACCCAGCAAGCCCACCGGGGCCCUGAAACCCGGCCCUGCCGGACACUGUGAUAAUAACCAAGAGGCAAGUCCAGAGACAUCCACUUUGCCCAAUGGCACCUGCAUCCAACUUCUCAGCAGGCAGUGACUGGCAUGGUGUGGGGGCAGCCGGGGCAGCACCUGGCCAGCACCUGGCCAGCUGCCCUGUAGCCCCCGAUGGCUCCAGUGCCUCUGGACCUCAUUUUCUACUUUCUACGGGGAAACCUACUCCCUCAGAGGCCACCAGAGGGAAGAGUGAGCAAGGCGUUCCUGCAGUCCCGACCAGCCAGCGGCAUGUCCUGUGGCCUCUGACUCAACCUAUGAGACAGAGCUCUGAUCCCAGGGCACACUUCCCAGGACACGGGGCCCAGCCUCAACCAGAGCCCUGUGAAGGGAGGGGCACCAGGAUGACCACAUGGGGGACCAUGGCGCUGCACACCUGGGCACUGUACUUCUCAUUGGAGAAUCCAGGCAAGAUCUUGAAGCAGGUGCAUGAGGUCCUGAGCCUGUGCAGCAAACAGCACUCAUCUGGGGUUGGCACGAAGGGGUCUACAGAGCCACGGCCACCGCAGCCUCUUCCCGGCCCCAUCUGUGCAGUGCAAGUGAUCCACGCCUGCUCCUAAACCCAGCCCAGCAAGCAGCAGCAGCCCGGGCCCCCAAGCCCGCCAGGCCAAUGUGCUGCCCAGAGGCUUCGAGGCCCUGCCCGCUGUACCUCCCACCACCUGGAAGCUGCCUCCUGACGCCUUCCAGCCACUGCUGCAGCCGCAACAGGUGUCGCGGCCAGUGCAGGCUUUCCAGACGGUGGCAGCGCCCAGCAGCCGUUGCCUCAGCUCUUUGGUGGCAGCCAGGCCAACAAGGGCAGCAACGAUGACUAGGAUGAUGAGUGAGCAAACAGCUCCACACUGGUGGACAGGCUGGGUGCGCACCCGGUGGUCCUCAAAGGCUCGCUGGGCCUGUACCACCGUUAUAAAUUUGAGAUCAUGAGAUUAUACCGUUUGCCUUCUUGCUUUUUGAAGUACGAGUAUUUUUAUGCACACUUUGUAGACUUCAAAAUCCAUGAAGAGUCUCAAAGAAGCCGGAUGGAUGGAGCCUGCUGCGGAUGCCUUUUACUCUCGUAGAUCAGGGUGAUUUACAUUCCACCUGUAGUCUGCUUGCAAACACACAGAGCAGCCUUGCAGCUUUGUGCCUUUAGACUCUUGGUUUUGCAUUUCUCCCUGCUCCCUUCUUCCUUCCAGUAAGCUGCAACUUUUCUGAUUGAAAGGGUGCAAGGCUAACACACGGAAUGACUAACUCAGGAUCACAUACUGGCAGUGGGAGAGGCAGGAGGAGCAGCUGCCAUCAAUUGCCAGGGCCAAGUGGAUGAUAGGAUGGAUGCUGGUGCAUGCGGAGGAGGCAGACGCAACGCUCAUCUCUAAUAAUGAUGUCUGUUCCCUCAGAGGCGGCUAGAGCAUCACCUCUUCACGCAAGUGUCUUGAAACUCAGCUUGAAGAUUUCAGCAAAUGUGUCUUACAGAGAAGAGAAGAGGGAGUCAGCCCAUCGGGAUUAAAAAUAUAGAGGCAGUGACAACACACACUCGGCUUCAGUUCUUAGGAGAGUUUUGGUUUUGAUUUUUUUUUUUUUUUUGGAGAAGAUUUUUUUUUUAAUGGAUCUACACUGUUAACUGAGACUCUGUUGAGAUUCACUGGUUUACUUAAAAACUUCUCAGGGAUGUCUGUAAAUUUCAGUGUUAUAUGUCAUGAAAACUGGUGUGGGCAGAUCUGUUGGUUGAAAUAAUUUCUACUGUUUCAAAUACUGAAGGCAGGAAUAAUUGGUUUAUACUGUGUUUUAAAUAGAAGUAUUACUGGUAAGUCCCCCAGGACAUUAAACCUUAAAAAUCAGUUUUAAGCUAUUAUUAUUGUAAGAGAAAUACAAAUGGCUGGAAAAUGCCACAGAGAUUCAAAAGCUGCUUAAUUGAAAGAGCAGGAAGGGAUUCUGGCUUGCAAUGCCAAAGUUUCAAUGUUUUUGUAGUUACUGAGCUAAAUCAUAUGGUAAUUGACAGUUUCUAAAUCUGUCACCUAAAGGUUAAAUUAUCUACUGUUGCCGUGAAGUCAAACUUACUGCUGCCUCAGAAAUCCCUGGGUACCGCGAUGGUCAUACAGAAGUAAGGAAGUCAAUUUGAAAUGUCAGUGAGUCAAAAUGAUUAAAGAGGCCAGGUGCAGUGGCUCACGCUUGUAAUCCCAGCACUUUGGGAGGCUGAGGCAGUGGAUUGCUUGAGUCCAGGAGUUUGAGAUCAACCUGUGCGACAUGGCAAAACCCUGUCUCUACAAAAAAUACAAAACAAAUUUAUCCAGACCUAGUGGUGCGCGCCUGUAUAGUUCCAGCUAGGGGGCUGAGGUCGGGGGAUGGCCUGAGCCUGGGAAGUCAGGGCUGCAGUGAGCCGAGAUGGCACCACUGCACUCUGGCCUGGGUGACACAGCCAGACCCUGCCUUAAAAAAAAAAAAAAAAAAAAAAAAGAUUUAAAAAACGGUCUGUUUAUUUAAAAAGAAAAGUGAAAUAAUGCCCAACAGUACAUUUACUCUCUUUUCAGGCUGGGUGCGCUGGCUCACGCCUGUAAUCCCAGCACUUUGGGAGGCCAAGGCAGGCAGAUCACCUGAGGUCAGGAGUUCGAGACCAGCCUGGUCAACAUGGCAAAACCCCGUCUCUACUAAAAAUAUAAAAAUUAGCCAGGCAUGGUGGUGCAAGCCUAUAAUCACAGCUACUUGGGAGGCUGAACCAAGAGAAUCACUUGAACCCAG